UGCCAGCUGGUCGUCGCCAUGAACCCGGACCUGCGCAGGGAGCGGGAUUCCGCCAGCUUCAACCCGGAGCUGCUUACACACAUCCUGGACGGCAGCCCCGAGAAAACCCGGCGCCGCCGAGAGAUCGAGAACAUGAUCCUGAACGACCCAGACUUCCAGCAUGAGGACUUGAACUUCCUCACUCGCAGCCAGCGUUAUGAGGUGGCUGUCAGGAAAAGUGCCAUCAUGGUGAAGAAGAUGAGGGAGUUUGGCAUCGCAGACCCUGAUGAAAUUAUGUGGUUUAAAAAUUUUGUGCACCGAGGGCGGCCUGAGCCUCUGGAUCUUCACUUGGGCAUGUUCCUGCCCACCUUGCUUCACCAGGCAACUGCGGAGCAGCAGGAGCGCUUCUUCAUGCCCGCCUGGAACUUGGAGAUCAUUGGCACUUAUGCCCAGACAGAGAUGGGUCAUGGAACUCACCUUCGAGGCUUGGAAACCACAGCCACAUAUGACCCUGAAACCCAGGAGUUCAUUCUCAACAGUCCUACUGUGACCUCCAUUAAAUGGUGGCCUGGUGGGCGUAAGUGAAUUUUUCAGCAUUUAUUGGAUGUUUUGAAGUUGGAAAGACUUCAAAUCAUGCAAUAGUUCUUGCCCAGCUCAUCACUAAGGGGAAAUGCUAUGGAUUACAUGCCUUUAUCGUACCUA
rnacentral:sRNA from 1 species